UGAUCCUGGCUCAGAACGAACGCUGGCGGCGCGUUUAAGCAUGCAAGUCGAGGGAUAGAGAAUCUUCGGAUUCUUGAGACCGGCGAACGGGUGAGUAACACGUAGGUGAUCUGCCACGAGGUUGGGGAUAGCCCAUGGAAACAUGGGGUAAUACCGAAUGAGCUCUUUUUACUAUGGUGAGAAGAGGAAAAGCGCUUCGGCGCUGCCUUGUGAUGAGCCUGCGGCUGAUUAGCUAGUUGGUGGGGUAACGGCCUACCAAGGCAACGAUCAGUACCCGGCCUGAGAGGGUGAUCGGCCACACUGGGACUGAGAUACGGCCCAGACUCCUACGGGAGGCAGCAGCUAAGAAUCUUCCGCAAUGGACGAAAGUCUGACGGAGCGACGCCGCGUGGGUGAAGAAGGCCGAGAGGUUGUAAAGCCCUUUUCUGUCUGAGGAAUAAGCUUGGGAGGGAAUGCCCGAGUGAUGACGGUAGGACAGGAAUAAGCCCCGGCUAAUUACGUGCCAGCAGCCGCGGUAACACGUAUGGGGCGAGCGUUGUUCGGAAUUAUUGGGCGUAAAGGGCGCGUAGGCGGAUAUACAAGUCUGGUGUGAAAGACCGCAGCUUAACUGCGGGAGCGCGCUGGAAACUGUAUGUCUUGAAUCCUUGAGGGGAAACUGGAAUUCCUGGUGUAGGGGUGAAAUCUGUAGAUAUCAGGAAGAACAUCGGUGGCGAAGGCGAGUUUCUGGCAAGUGAUUGACGCUGAGGCGCGAAAGCGUGGGGAGCAAACAGGAUUAGAUACCCUGGUAGUCCACGCUGUAAACGAUGUGCACUAGGCGUUGGGGUGUUGAAACCUCAGUGCCGGAGCUAACGUGGUAAGUGCACCGNCUGGGGAGUAUGCCGGCAACGGUGAAACUCAAAGGAAUUGACGGGGGCCCGGACAAGCGGUGGAGCAUGUGGUUUAAUUCGAUGAUA
rnacentral:rRNA from 1 species